AAAUGAUCACGGAUGUUUCUUGUAUAUGACUUUUAAUUUUCGCCCUGUCUGUCUGAUGUUAUGGCGUAAAUCUAAUUUUUCUCAUUGCUGAUAUAAUUCAUACUGAAGAGGGCGAUAUGCCGAAAAGAACCAGUUUUUAUGGACCAACCCUAGGAAGAGUAAGGAUCAAAUUACAGACGAAAAUCUAACAAAAGGAUUCCUCAAAAAGUUGAUAAAAGCACUUUGAACACUUUCAACACGGAGGCCGAUCGGCCCUGAAGUACCUGCGUCCCGACCCUUUUCGACUCGUUGACUUGACCUGGCUCCAUGAGGCGUCCGUCGAAAAAUAAUAUCCUGCACACAAAAUCAGUAGCAAGAAGGUGAAAGGCAUGUGUAGGCG
rnacentral:lncRNA from 1 species